AUGAACGCUGGCGGCGUGCCUAAUACCUGCAAGUCGAGCGAACAGAUAAGGAGCUUGCUCCUUUUAAGUUAGCGGCGGACGGGUGAGUAACACGUGGGUAACCUACCUAUAAGGCUGGGAUAACUUCGGGAAACCGGAUCUAAUACCGGAUAACAUGUAGAACCGCAUGGUUCUAAAGUGAAAGAUGGUUUUGCUAUCACUUAUAGAUGGACCCGCGCCGUAUUAGCUAGUUGGUAAGGUAACGGCUUACCAAGGCGACGAUACGUAGCCGACCUGAGAGGGUGAUCAGCCACACUGGAACUGAGACACGGUCCAGACUCCUACGGGAGGCAGCAGUAGGGAAUAUUCCGCAAUGGGCGAAAGCCUGACGGAGCAACGCCGCGUGAGUGAUGAAGGGUUUCGGCUCGUAAAACUCUGUUAUUAGGGAAGAACAAAUGUGUAAGUAACUGUGCACAUCUUGACGGUACCUAAUCAGAAAGCCACGGCUAACUACGUG
rnacentral:rRNA from 1 species